rnacentral:lncRNA from 1 species
GGAUGUUGAAUAGCAGGGCGAGGAGAUCUGAGAAGUCGUUUGAUUAGCUGCUUUGGAGGAUUUUGAGCUGUUGCAGAUGGGGGGAAACUUCACAUACUAAGCCAUUAGGACUACCCUACCCUCCAUCAACAAGAACACCACCAAUAUAUUUAAACGAAGAUUCUAACCUGGAUAUAAUAUGUCACAAAACAAAGCAGAGGUCAAGUAGUAGCCUGCAUCAUGUUCAUCCUUAGCAAGUAAAUAAGAAUUUAGAGGCAAACAUUUCAUCGGAAGGGGCAAAAUCUUCCAUUAGAGGCGAUUGUAUGAAUGUUCCAGUUGAUGUUGGUGUGGCAAUAGCUCCCACCUCAAAGGUAAUGACUUCACAUGAAACAGUGUUGUUUCAAAGCAAGUGAAUAAGCUUUCAUCAUUCAUGAUUUCAUCAUCUCCCAUUCUUAGCAUUAGUCAUAGUGGAUAACAGUUCAAUUUCCUCCAACAGCCUUCUCCGCUGGCUACAAGGAUUCAUGUCCGGAGAAGAAGAAGAUGAAGAUAUCAACAACUGAAUAAGGUACUCACAAACUGCUCCAACUUCAUCCACUCCAUCAAUCUUCAACUCAUCUCCACAUCCUUCUUCUUCUUCUUCUUCUUCUUCUUCUUCUUCCUCUUCUUCCUCCUCAUAUGCCUGCUUCCUGCACUCUUGGAGCAAUCUGUUUAAACAAGACAAUUGAUCCUUUUCAACAGUUUCGAAUUCAGCAGCUGUCGAAACAGCUCUAGAAUUUCUCUCGUCACAGUACUCGCACUAAGGUUCUUCAGUAUGCCAUCAAUGCAGGCUUUGUCGAAUGCACUGCUGAUCCAUGAAGGAGGAUUAUGGGUCUUCUGCAGCAUUGCAACUGUUACACGAACAGCAGGCUUAUGGCGAUUGAGGAACGAUUUUGAUGCGAAGCAAGG